GACGAACGCUGGCGGCGUGCUUAACACGUGCAAGUCGAACGGUAAGGCCCUUCGGGGUACACGAGUGGCGAACGGGUGAGUAACACGUGGGUGAUCUGCCCUGCACUUCGGGAUAAGCCUGGGAAACUGGGUCUAAUACCGGAUAGGACCCUGGGAUGCAUGUCAUGGGGUGGAAAGCUUUUGCGGUGUGGGAUGGGCCCGCGGCCUAUCAGCUAGUUGGUGGGGUGAUGGCCUACCAAGGCGACGACGGGUAGCCGGCCUGGGAGGGGGACCGGCCACACUGGGACUGAGAUACGGCCCAGACUCCUACGGGAGGCAGCAGUGGGGAAUAUUGCGCAAUGGGCGCAAGCCUGAUGCAGCGACGCCGCGUGAGGGAUGACGGCCUUCGGGUUGUAAACCUCUUUCAGCACCGACGAAGCGCAAGUGACGGUAGGUGCAGAAGAAGGACCGGCCAACUACGUGCCAGCCGCCGCCGUAA
rnacentral:rRNA from 1 species